AAAGAUCGAUACCGAGGGGGGGGCACGAUGCUCCGGAGACACCCCUGCUUCGUCAGGCAGUCUGUACCGCGUACAGCCUGAAACUCCCUAAACCUCAACAACCAGCCACUCCGGCGUGAAGGUAUCGUUCU
rfam:Trichuris trichiura, WGS project CBXK01000000 data, contig: TTRE_1861